rfam:Salmo salar isolate Sally breed double haploid chromosome ssa06, whole genome shotgun sequence.
UUACAAAGAAAUUGUAAGUCGCUCUGGAUAAGAGCGUCUGCUAAAUGUAAAAAA